AGUCGAACGAGAACCUCAGUGCUUGCAUUGAGGGGACAGUGGCGAACGGGUGAGUAACACGUGGAUAAUAUACCUCUUGGUUGGGGACAACCACUGGAAACSGUGGCUAAUACCGAAUAACAUGGUUUUUGCAUAAGCAUGAAUCAUUAAAGGUGGGGACCUUCGGGCCUAUCGCCAGGAGAUUAGUCCGCGGCCCAUUAGCUUGUUGGUAGGGUAACGGCCUACCAAGGCCACGAUGGGUAGCCGGCCUGAGAGGGUGAACGGCCACAUUGGGACUGAGACACGGCCCAGACUCCUACGGGAGGCAGCAGUUAAGAAUCUUGCACAAUGGACGAAAGUCUGAUGCAGCGACGCCGCGUGGAUGAUGAAGGCCUUCGGGUUGUAAAGUCCGGUAAGCAGGGAAGAAUAAGCAAGUGGUAAUAUUUCUUGUGAUGACGGUACCUGCCUAAAGCCCCGGCUAACUACGUGCCAGCAGCCGCGGUAAUACGUAUGGGGCAAGCGUUGUUCGGAAUUAUUGGGCGUAAAGGGCGUCUAGGCGGGGAAUUAAGUUAGGUGUGAAAUCCAUGGGCUCAACUCGUGAAUGGCAUCUAAAACUGGUUCUCUUGAGUUCGGGAGAGGAGAGCAGAAUUCCUGGUGUAGCGGUGAAAUGCGUAGAUAUCAGGAGGAAUACCAGUGGCGAAGGCGGCUCUCUGGCCUAGGACUGACGCUGAAGCGCGAAAGCGUGGGGAGCGAACGGGAUUAGAUACCCCGGUAGUCCACGCCGUAAACGUUGUAUACUAGGUGUUAGUGGCUUGUCCACUAGUGCCGCAGCUAACGCAUUAAGUAUACCGCCUGGGGAGUACGACCGCAAGGUUUAAACUCAAAGAAAUUGACGGGGGCCCGCACAAGCGGUGGAGCAUGUGGUUUAAUUCGAUGAUACGCGAAGAACCUUACCUGGGCUUGAACUGUACUUGACAGGUGUAGAGAUACACUCUCCUUCGGGCAGGUACAGAGGUGCUGCAUGGUUGUCGUC
rnacentral:rRNA from 1 species